rfam:Candida tropicalis MYA-3404 genomic scaffold supercont3.2, whole genome shotgun sequence.
AUCGUUUCGCAUUUACCCGUCAACACAAGGAGUUACAACUCAUUAAAAAUUAAACGGGUGGGAAAUUCGGUGGUACUCUCCAUCCUUUACCAAAGUUGCUCCUGAGAGCUUUUCUUAAUCCUAAGCAUGAAAAUGCAUGGGCGGUGUUACAAGAAAUAUUACACGAUUCAGACUGUAAAAGGUUUGUUUCGUUAUGGGAAUGACGCCGUGGAUGGUUGGCUAUGAUGAAAGUUAUCAUCAUUAAGCUGUUUAGUGCAAUAUGCGAACUUGAAUAUACUCUAUUCAAGCACCCGAUACCGAUCAUCGAU